GAUGAACGCUGGCGGCGUGCCUAAUACAUGCAAGUCGAGCGAACGGACGAGAAGCUUGCUUUUCUGAUGUUAGCGGCGGACGGGUGAGUAACACGUGGAUAACCUACCUAUAAGACUGGGAUAACUUCGGGAAACCGGAGCUAAUACCGGAUAAUAUUUUGAACCGCAUGGUUCAAAAGUGAAAGACGGUCUUGCUGUCACUUAUAGAUGGAUCCGCGCUGCAUUAGCUAGUUGGUAAGGUAACGGCUUACCAAGGCAACGAUGCAUAGCCGACCUGAGAGGGUGAUCGGCCACACUGGAACUGAGACACGGUCCAGACUCCUACGGGAGGCAACAGUAGGGAAUCUUCCGCAAUGGGCGAAAGCCUGACGGAGCAACGCCGCGUGAGUGAUGAAGGUCUUCGGAUCGUAAAACUCUGUUAUUAGGGAAGAACAUAUGUGUAAGUAACUGUGCACAUCUUGACGGUACCUAAUCAGAAAGCCACGGCUAACUACGUG
rnacentral:rRNA from 1 species